rnacentral:rRNA from 1 species
AGAGUUUGAUCAUGGCUCAGGAUGAACGCUAGCUACAGGCUUAACACAUGCAAGUCGAGGGGAAACGACAUCGAAAGCUUGCUUUUGAUGGGCGUCGACCGGCGUACGGGUGAGUAACGCGUAUCCAACCUGCCCACCACUUGGGGAUAACCUUGCGAAAGUAAGACUAAUACCCAAUGAUAUCUCUAGAAGACAUCUGAAAGAGAUUAAAGAUUUAUCGGUGAUGGAUGGGGAGUGCGUCUGAUUAGCUUGUUGGCGGGGUAACGGGCCCACCAAGGCAACGAUCAGUAGGGGUUCGUGAGAGGAAGGUCCUCCCACAUUGGAACUGAGACACGGUCCAAACUCCUACGGGAGGCAGCA